rnacentral:rRNA from 1 species
UGGCUCAGGAUGAACGCUGCGGUAUGCUUAACACAUGCAAGUCGAACGGAACUCUUCGGAGUUUAGUGGCGGACGGGUGAGUAACGCGUGAGAAUCGGCCCUCAGGUUGGGGACAACCAUUGGAAACGGUGGCUAAUACCGAAUAAGCCGAAAGGUGAAAGAUUAAUUGCCUGGGGAAGAGCUCGCGUCUGAUUAGCUAGUUGGUGGGGUAAAGGCCUACCAAGGCACCGAUCAGUAACUGGUCUGAGAGGAUGGCCAGUCACACUGGGACUGAGACACGGCCCAGACUCCUACGGGAGGCAGCAGUGGGGAAUUUUCCGCAAUGGGCGAAAGCCUGACGGAGCAAUACCGCGUGGGGGAGGAAGGCUCUUGGGUCGUAAACCUCUUUUCUCAGGGAAGAAUACAAUGACGGUACCUGAGGAAUCAGCAUCGGCUAACUCCGUGCCAGCAGCCGCGGUAAUACGGAGGAUGCAAGCGUUAUCCGGAAUGAUUGGGCGUAAAGCGUCCGCAGGUGGCAGUGUAAGUCUGCUGUCAAAGGUCAGGGCUCAACCCUGAACAGGCAGUGGAAACUACACAGCUAGAGUGCGGUGGGGGCAGAGGGAAUUCCCAGUGUAGCGGUGAAAUGCGUAGAGAUUGGGAAGAACACCGGUGGCGAAAGCGCUCUGCUAGGCCGUAACUGACACUCAUGGACGAAAGCUAGGGGAGCGAAUGGGAUUAGAUACCCCAGUAGUCCUAGCCGUAAACGAUGGAUACUAGGCGUAGCUCGUAUCGACCCGAGCUGUGCCGUAGCUAACGCGUUAAGUAUCCCGCCUGGGGAGUACGCUCGCAAGAGUGAAACUCAAAUGAAUUGACGGGG